rnacentral:rRNA from 1 species
CGGACGGGUGAGUAAUGUCUGGGAAACUGCCUAAUGGAGGGGGAUAACUGCUGGAAACGGUAGCUAAUACCGCAUAACGUCGCAAGACCAAAGAGGGGGACCUUCGGGCCUCUUGCCAUCGGAUGUGCCCAGAUGGGAUUAGCUAGUAGGUGGGGUAACGGCUCACCUAGGCGACGAUCCCUAGCUGGUCUGAGAGGAUGACCAGCCACACUGGAACUGAGACACGGUCCAG